rnacentral:lncRNA from 1 species
CCCUGAAAUGGGGGGGGGACAACGGGUUUGGGGAGGGGGGCAGUGGGUUAUGGGUGGCAGGGGGCUCAAAUUGAGGGUCCUCAUUUGAGGGGGGGGCAAAAGGAGGGGUUUGGGGGAGCUGGGAGCAGCUUUGGGGGCACCCAGAGUCAUUUUUGGGGCACCCAGAUGGGGCUCUGGGGCACCCAGGGCCAUUUUGAGGGCACCCAAAACCCAUUUUGGGGCAUCAACAGCCACUUUUAGGGCACCCACACUCACUUUGGGGGCAUUCAGGUGGGGCUCCGAGACACCCAGGGCCAUUUUGUAGGGCACCCAAAGGGGAUCUGGGGCACCCACACCCAUUUUUGAGCCACAAACAACUAUUUUUAAGGUACCCAACUGGGGCUUUGAGACACUCAGGGCCAUUUUUGGGGUGUCCAGAUAGAGCUUUGGGGCACAAACAGCCAUUUUUGGGGCACUGUGAGGGAGUUUGGGGCACCCACAGGCAUUUUUAGGGUGCCCAGAUGGGGCUUUGGAGCACCAACAGCCAUUUUUGGGGCACAAACAUCCAUUUUUGGGAUGCCCAGAUGGGGUUCUGAGACACCCUGGGUCAUUUUUGGGGUGCCCAAGUGAGGCCUGGGGCACCAACAGCCAUUUUUGGGGCACCCAGAAGAGAUUUUGGGGCACCCACAGGCAUUUUUGGGGCACCCAGAAUCACUUUCGGGGCACCUAAGUGGGGCUCUGAGACACCCAGGGCCAUUUUUGGGGUGCCCAAAGGGGGUAUGGGGGCACCGACAGCCAUUUUUGGGGUACCCAGGUGAGGCUUUGAAACACCCAGGGCCAUUUUUGGGGCACCCAGAGCGGGUUUAUGGCACCCAAAGUCAUUUCUGGGGUGCCCAGAAGGAGCUUUGAGACACCCAGGGCCAUUUUUGGGGUCCCUAAAGCCAAUCUUUAGGCUCCCAGAGGCAGUUUUGGGGCUCCCAGAGGGGUCUGAUUUUGAGGUCCCCAGGAUUUCAAGUUUUGGGGGGCACUCAGAGCCAUUUUGGGGGCUCCCAGAGGCACCUGAUUUUGGGAUUCCAGGCAUUAGAGGUUUUGGGGGGCACCCAGGACCAUUUUUGGGGUUCCCUGGGGGUCUGAUUUUGGAGUCCCCAACAUUGGAGGUUUUCGGGGGCAUCCAGGGCCAUUUUGGGGGCACUCAAGGCCAUUUUUGGGGUUCCCAAAGGGGUCAGGUUUUGGGAUCCCCAUGAUUUGUGGUUUUGGGGGCACCGGGGGUGGUUUUGUGGUGUCAAAACCAGCAUUUUGGGGGGACCCAGAGAUGUGGGUUUGGGUUUCUUGCUUUUGUGGUGCUUUUGGGGUGGGGGGGUCCUUUCUUGGGGGCACCCAGGACCAUUUUUGGGGUUCCCUGGGGGUCUGAUUUUGGAGUCCCCAACAUUAGAGGAUUUGGGGGGCAUCCAGGGCCAUUUUGGGGGCACUCAAGGCCAUUUUUGGGGUUCCCAAAGGCAAUUCUGGGGUUCCCAGAGG